rnacentral:misc_RNA from 1 species
CUUCGUUUAUUUUCAAAAAGCUUAAUUGGAUGAACCAGGAUUCAAGUUUGAAGCUUUCAUGUUGCAGGUGAAAGGGAAGCCGAAAGGUGUAAAUUCUUCUCAGUAGCCAGAGAAAAGUGAGGUACAAAAAGGCAAAACAAGAGCUAUUAGCUUCCCUUCCCAUAACGGAUAAAGCUUCGAUAUUUUUUGUGUUGGAAAUUGGGCCUUCCAAAUUCAGGAGCAAAUCAUUGUAGAAUAAUUUGGGUUGAGUAUGAGGUAGAGGCUUGCAGCA